rnacentral:rRNA from 1 species
UACGAAGGGGGCUAGCGUUGUUCGGAAUUACUGGGCGUAAAGCGCACGUAGGCGGACAUUUAAGUCAGGGGUGAAAUCCCAGAGCUCAACUCUGGAACUGCCUUUGAUACUGGGUGUCUGGAGUCCGGAAGAGGUGAGUGGAAUUCCGAGUGUAGAGGUGAAAUUCGUAGAUAUUCGGAGGAACACCAGUGGCGAAGGCGGCUCACUGGUCCGGUACUGACGCUGAGGUGCGAAAGCGUGGGGAGCAAACAGG